CUGGGAUGUGUCAUUGUAUCCCUGGGAGUUCAGUUCCGGGCUGGGGGGCAAAAUGGAACAAGUUCUCAACGUAAAGCAUAAUAAGGAGACUUGCAGUAAUUAAGCGCAUUUUAUUUCAGUUCCUGUACGAACUGACGAGAGAGAGAACACGAACCUCCCAUUAAGUGUAUAAUUGGUUUGACCCAAGAAGAAAGGUCAUGUGAGGACACACGAAGAAGGUGGCAAACCAGGAAGAGAAUUCUCACCAGAAACCAACCCUGGCUGGCACCUUUAUCUUGGACUUUCAACCUCCAGAACUGUGAGAAAUUAAAAAAUACAUUUCUGUUUUUAAGCCACCCAGUCUGUGGUAUCUUAUGGCAGAGUAGAUUAAUACAGGAGUCAUCAUUGUGGAAAUGAUUUCUAAAGCCAUGAGUCUGGGUGAGCUCUCCAACAGAGUGAGCAUAGACAAAGAAGACAAAGGACAAAGGACUGAGACCCCGGGCCCCCAACAUUAAGAGACAAGGAACCAGGGCUUCCCUGGUGGCGCAGUGGUUAGGAAUCCACCUGCCAAUGCAGGGGACACGGGUUCGAGCCCUGGUCCAGGAAGAUCCCACAUGCCACAGAGCAACUAAGCCCGGGUGUCAGAACUGCUGAGCCUCAGCUCUGGAGCCCGUGAGCCACAACUACUGGGCCCACGUGCCACAACUACCGAAGCCUGCAUGCCUAGAGCCCGUGCUCCACUGCAAGAGAAGCCACUGCAGUGAGAAGCCUGCACUCUGCAACAAAGGGUGGCCCCCGUUCGCCGCAACUAGAGAAAGCCCGUGUGCAGCAAGGAGGACCCAAUGCAGCCAAAAAUAAAUAAAAAUAAAUUAAAAAAAAAGAGAGAGACAAGGAACCAACAAUGGAGCCUGAGAGGGAACAGCUAGUGAGCUAUUUUGAGCUGGAUUUCUGUCACUUACAACCGAAAGAGACCUGGCCAACUCCAGGCAGAAACACAGCGUCAUGGGAAAGUUGGAAAGGGAGAGUGGUUGAGCUGAUGAAGACUUGUCCGGGAAUCCUGUCCGGUGGAGGUGGGAUUGAGCAGGGUUUUGAUAAAUGAGGAGGAUUUUGAUGCAUAAAGAAGAAGCGAUCUUUCCAGUGAGGGGAGCAGCUCAGG